AUUGAAAUAAACCUGAUGGGUUGUUGCUGGUUCUCUUGGGAGCAUGUGCACGCCUUGUCAUCUUUAUAUCUCCACCUGUGCACCCUUUGUAGACCUUCCCAGGUCUAUGUUGCUUCAUUUACCCCAAUGUAUGUUAAUAGAAUGUUGUGACUAUAAAAAUCUAUACAACUUUCAGCAACGGAUCUCUUGGCUCUCGCAUCGAUGAAGAACGCAGCGAAAUGCGAUAAGUAAUGUGAAUUGCAGAAUUCAGUGAAUCAUCGAAUCUUUGAACGCACCUUGCGCUCCUUGGUAUUCCGAGGAGCAUGCCUGUUUGAGUGUCAUUAAUAUAUAUCAACCUCUCUUGUUGAGUGGCUUGGAUGUGGGGGGGUUUUGCUGGCCUGUUCAGCUCCUCUGAAAUACAUUAGCAGAACAAACCUGUUCAUUGGUGUGAUAACUAUCUACGCUAUUGAAUGUGAGGGGCAGUUCAGCUUUCCAACAGUCCUUGGACAACUUAUCAUUUAUGUGACCUCAAAUCAGGUAGGACUACCCG
rnacentral:rRNA from 1 species